GGGGAUGGCUAACCAAGAUCUGAGUCAAAAACUGCCCAAUUGGAGACUCCAACUGAAGGGGAGCAAUAGGAUCAUCUGAUUCAGAUGACUCUGCAUCCAUGGAUGCCUUGGCUACCGUGCUUCUCCUAACUCCAGAGCCUAAUUUCUUAUUCCAGAGUUUGGCGUAAGAUACCUGAGGGCAUAGACGAAUAGGGACAUGAGAUAGGGAAGGAAAGCGCACAAAACCAAGUCCGCUGCCGAAGAUUUCCGAUCUACCAGUAGAAUUUAGGCGAGCAAAGGCUCCAACAGGAGAUCCGAUGACAGUUGCCAUGGCAGCUUCCAUGCGAGCCCGGAGAAGAAGCGAAACCCUAGAGGAAAGUGGUGGCCAGAUGAUUCCGCGGAGAAGAAA
rnacentral:misc_RNA from 1 species